GGUGUAGCUCAGUGGUAGAGCAUAUGCUUAGCAUGCUUGAGGCCCUGGGUUCAAUCACCAGCAUC
rnacentral:tRNA from 1 species